rnacentral:rRNA from 1 species
GACGAACGCUGGCGGCGUGCUUAACACAUGCAAGUCGAGCGGAAAGGCCCCUUCGGGGGUACUCGAGCGGCGAACGGGUGAGUAACACGUGAGUAAUCUGCCCUUGGCUUCGGGAUAGCCACCGGAAACGGUGAUUAAUACCGGAUAUGACCAGCUACUGCAUGGUGGUUGGUGGAAAGUUUUUCGGCCAGGGAUGUGCUCGCGGCCUAUCAGCUUGAUGGUGAGGUAACGGCUCACCAUGGCUUCGACGGGUAGCCGGCCUGAGAGGGUGACCGGUCACACUGGGACUGAGAAACGGCCCAGACUCCUACGGGAGGCAGCAGUGGGGAAUAUUGGACAAUGGGCGGAAGCCUGAUCCAGCAACGCCGCGUGAGGGAUGACGGCCUUCGGGUUGUAAACCUCUUUCAGUACCGACGAAGCGCAAGUGACGGUAGGUACAGAAGAAGCACCGGCCAACUACGUGCCAGCAGCCGCCGCGGUAA